GUUUGAUCCUGGCUCAGGAUGAACGCUAGCGGCAGGCUUAACACAUGCAAGUCGAGGGGUAUAGUUCUUCGGAAUUAGAGACCGGCGCACGGGUGCGUAACGCGUAUGCAAUCUACCUUUCACAGAGGGAUAGCCCAGAGAAAUUUGGAUUAAUACCUCAUAGUAUAGCAGUUUCGCAUGAAACCACUAUUAAAGUCACAACGGUGAAAGAUGAGCAUGCGUCCCAUUAGCUUGUUGGUAAGGUAACGGCUUACCAAGGCAACGAUGGGUAGGGGUCCUGAGAGGGAGAUCCCCCACACUGGUACUGAGACACGGACCAGACUCCUACGGGAGGCAGCAGUGAGGAAUAUUGGACAAUGGGCGCAAGCCUGAUCCAGCCAUGCCGCGUGCAGGAUGACGGUCCUAUGGAUUGUAAACUGCUUUUGUACAGGAAGAAACACUGGUUCGUGAACCGGCUUGACGGUACUGUAAGAAUAAGGAUCGGCUAACUCCGUG
rnacentral:rRNA from 1 species